UUUUUGCUCUUGAUCAUGGCUUUAAUCCCGUAAAAAUCUUCUAAAACAGAGACCACACUAGCCAGAUGCCAAACUAUGGUGAUAUACAACAUCCCCACGGAAUAUAUGAUGAUAAGAGCAACAAGAACCGCAAUUCUAAAUCCGACUGCAUUUACGUGAAAAACAACUUGAGUCCACAAGGUUAAAAACACCACAGCUGCAAUGAUGUUAUAGAGCACAACAACAAGAAAACUCCAUAUAAAGGUGACCAUUAGUCUCUUCCAAACCUUUGGCACAACACUCAUGAUCUUCUUGAAGGUGAUUGGCUUGACAGUGUAUAUGCAAGCUAUGGUAUAAACAACUGCAGAUGUGGAGAGAAGGGAAAAGAUUAGAAGGAAAGUAAAGUAGGCAAAUUUGAAGAGCCAAAAGGCAGUCCAUUCCGCGGAGAUGUUAUCAGAGAGUUUAUCGUGUUUUGGUGUGCCAGAUUGGGUGAAGUCUAA
rnacentral:lncRNA from 1 species